rnacentral:rRNA from 1 species
UACGGAGGAUCCAAGCGUUAUCCGGAUUUAUUGGGUUUAAAGGGUGCGUAGGUGGCCUGUUAAGUCAGGGGUGAAAGACGGUAGCUUAACUAUCGCAGUGCCCUUGAUACUGAUGGGCUUGAAUGAACUAGAGGUAGGCGGAAUGUGACAAGUAGCGGUGAAAAUGCAUAGAUAUGUCACAGAACACCAAUUGCGAAGGCAGCUUACUAUGGUUUUAUUGACACUGAGGCACGAAAGCGUGGGGAUCAAACAGG